GGGAGUGUGGCCGAGUGGUUAAGGCGUUGUGUUUAGGUUAUAACCAUUAACCAAAACCGCAAUGGGAAACCUCGCGAGUUCGAAUCUCGUCGCUCUCA
rnacentral:tRNA from 1 species